AAUAAGAGCUGGGCAAGACCGGUGCCAGCCGCCGCGGUAACACCGGCAGCUCUAGUGGUAGCUGUUUUUAUUGGGCCUAAAGCGUUCGUAGCCGGUUUGAUAAGUCACUGGUGAAAUCCUGUAGCUUAACUGUGGGAAUUCGCUGGUGAUACUGUUGAACUUGAGGUCGGGAGAGGUUAGCGGUACUCCCAGGGUAGAGGUGAAAUUCUGUAAUCCUGGGAGGACCACCUGUGGCGAAGGCGGCUAACUGGAACGAACCUGACGGUGAGGGACGAAAGCUAGGGGCGCGAACCGGAUUAGAUACCCGGGUAGUCCUAGCCGUAAACGAUGCGGACUUGGUGUUGGGAUGGCUUUGAGCCGCUCCGGUGCCGAAGGGAAGCUGUUAAGUCCGCCGCCUGGGA
rnacentral:rRNA from 1 species